rnacentral:rRNA from 1 species
UACGUAGGGUGCGAGCGUUGUCCGGAAUUAUUGGGCGUAAAGAGCUCGUAGGCGGUGUGUCACGUCGGCCGUGAAAACCUGCAGCUUAACUGUGGGCGUGCGGUCGAUACGGGCAUCACUGGAGUUCGGCAGGGGAGACUGGAAUUCCUGGUGUAGCGGUGGAAUGCGCAGAUAUCAGGAGGAACACCGGUGGCGAAGGCGGAUCUCUGGGCCAUAACUGACGCUGAGGAGCGAAAGCAUGGGGAGCGAACAGG